UGUUAAAUUGGGAAGCGAGGAUCGGAUUUGAAAGCAAAAUCCACCAAACAAUUCCAAUAAAGAAACUAUUCUAAUGGAAUCGUAAUUUUUGAACCGAUUCCAAGUAGUAAUCGGUUCUCGAUGCCCAACCAAAGGUUCUUUCCAUAA